rnacentral:rRNA from 1 species
CGUAAAGCGAAACUGCGAAUGGCUCAUUAAAUCAGUCUUGGUUUAUUUGGUCUCGAGAGCGAAGGUGGAUAACUGUGGCAAUUCCAGAGCUAAUACAUGCAAUAAGCGCCGACUUCGGGAGGCGUGCUUUUAUCAGAUCAAAACCGACCGGGUUCGCCCGUCUCUUUUGAUGACUCUGGAUAACCACGCGGAUCGCACGGCCUCGGUGCCGGCGACAUACCAUUCAAGUGUCUGACCUAUCAACUGUCGAAGGUAAGCUACGGGCUUACCUUUGUGAUAACGGGUGACGGGGAAUCAGGGUUCGAUUCCGGAGAGGGAGCCUGAGAAACGGCUACCACAUCCAAGGAAGGCAGCAGGCGCGCAAAUUACCCAUUCCCGACACGGGGAGGUAGUGACGAAAAAUAACAAUACAGGACUCUAACGAGGCCCUGUAAUUGGAAUGAGUACAUUCUAAAACUCUUAACGAGUAUCCAUUGGAGGGCAAGUCUGGUGCCAGCAGCCGCGGUAAUUCCAGCUCCAACAGUGUAUGCUAAAGUUGUUGCGGUUGAAAAGCUCGUAGUUGGAUGUUGGGCGGGCGCGGCCGGUCCGUCGCAGGGCGUGCACUGGUCGCGUUCGCCUCGCCGUUCGGUUCUCCGUCGGUGCUCUUGAUUGAGUGUCGGCGGUGGCCGAGAAGUUUACUUUGAAAAAAUUAGAGUGUUCAAAGCAGGCCGUUCGCCUGAAUAGUGUUGCAUGGAAUAAUGGAAUAGGACCUCGGUUCU